GACGAACGCUGGCGGCGUGCUUAACACAUGCAAGUCGAACGGUAAGGCCUUCGGGUACACGAGUGGCGAACGGGUGAGUAACACGUGGGUGAUCUGCCCCCUACUCUGGGAUAAGCCUGGGAAACUGGGUCUAAUACCGGAUAUGACCUCCUUCUGCCUGGUGGGUGGUGGAAAGUUUCUUCGGUAGGGGAUGAGCCCGCGGCCUAUCAGCUGGUGGGUGGGGUAAUGGCCUAACAAGGCGACGACGGGUAGCCGGCCUGAGAGGGCGACCGGCCACACUGGGACUGAGACACGGCCCAGACUCCUACAGGAGGCAGCAGUGGGGAAUAUUGCACAAUGGGCGAAAGCCUGAUGCAGCGACGCCGCGUGGGGGAUGACGGCCUUCGGGUUGUAAACCCCUUUCAGUCGGGACGAAGCGAGAGUGACGGUACCGAUAGAAGAAGCACCGGCCAACUACGUGCCAGCCGCCGCGGUAAGAC
rnacentral:rRNA from 1 species